GACACACAGGCAAUGAAAUCAACUAGUAGUAAUCAACUUUGUUGCAUUACAAUCAAUUCAUUACAUUUAAAAUAUGGACUUCACACAACCUAACUAGUACUAAUCAACUUUCCAUCUCCCAAAUUCUAAUUACAAAUUUCUCGGAUUUAAGCAACUUCUUGCACAGAAAUGGUUCCAAAGAAAUUCCAAAGUAGCAAAAUUAAGAAAACUCAUAUUAUUAUCUUGUAAAUCCUAUGUUGCGUCUAACAUUUUGCGCUUCAUUUUCAAGAGUCUUCAACUUCCUCAACAAACUAGGAAUCACUUGAAUAGCUCUCGGCUGCAUCGGAGGAUUAUACCACAUGAAAUACCCGCAACCAUGAGGCUGUCAAAAAAGAAUUUUUUUGAGAACAAACUUCAUAUUAAAGGAAAUUGAAUAUAAAUUACUUACUCUUGCAGUUUGACAUCCAUAGAAUCGACGACCAUGAUUCAAAUCAGUCCAAUAAGUUAUUAACAUAGCCGGGCGAUGACAAUGACAGUGGUUAACUGCGGCCAUUUAAGUUGACUCUUUCCGGUGUUGGGAUGUGGUGCAUGCAACAUAAUCAAAAUAAAUCAAAUGAACAAACAAAAGAAUACACACAGGGGCAUAACAGUUAUAGUUCAUAGACUCCAGAACCAAAAACAGACUAAUACGAAACUAAACAAAAGAUGUUCUUUUAACAGCUACAAAACUAACCAAUAACAGUACCUAGAAAAGUUAAUUUAACAAAAGAUUUGUAAAUUGCAUUAAUCUUGUCAUGUCAUCAUACUAAAAGUACCUAGAAAAAUUAAUGAAAAUUAUAGAAAAUAACUUAACAAUUAUAUAGUGUUUACAAUUCUUAAUCAACACAGAAACAUAAUAUGCGAAGGUAUACAUGUAAUCAAUAACUCAAAUCCAAUUGAACAAUGUAAUACUACUACUUAAAGAAUAUUCAACUCAUCAUUAUGUCUUCUAACACAAAUAUUAAAAGACUGUUAACAGGUUCUUCCUUCAAACCUUCGAAAGGGACAACUCUCAAGACUGUUAACAGGUAAAUUAGGUAUAAUAAAUUGUAAAAGUACCAAAUUUCAAGCCCUUACCGAUUCGAACUGAUUAGAUGAAGGAAAUCAAUUUUAUAAGGCUUUCUCUCUUGGAGCAAUAUCGCGUUUCUAGGGCUUCGUUCCCUCAGUUGCAUCAAUCGCGAUGGAGAAAGGGUUUCGUUCUCUCAGUUGAAGGGCUUCGCGAUGGAGAAGGGCUUCGAUUUUAUGAAGGAACUCAGCAAUCCCGUUGAGGGCUCUUGAAAUCGAUUUUGGCACGCGCUAGAGCUAAGUCUUCGUGAGUGAGGAAAGAGAUAUAAA
rnacentral:lncRNA from 1 species